GUCCACGCCGUAAACGAUGAGUACUAAGUGUUGGGAGUCAAAUCUCAGUGCUGCAGUUAACGCAAUAAGUACUCCGCCUGAGUAGUACGUUCGCAAGAAUGAAACUCAAAGGAAUUGACGGGGGCCCGCACAAGCGGUGGAGCAUGUGGUUUAAUUCGAAGCAACGCGAAGAACCUUACCAGGUCUUGACAUCGAUCUAAAGGCUCCAGAGAUGGAGAGAUAGCUAUAGAGAAGACAGGUGGUGCAUGGUUGUCGU
rnacentral:rRNA from 1 species